rnacentral:rRNA from 1 species
CAGUCGCCACGGGAAUACGGAGGGGGCUAGCGUUGUUCGGAAUUACUGGGCGUAAAGCGCACGUAGGCGGCUUGGUAAGUUAGAGGUGAAAGCCCGGAGCUCAACUCCGGAAUUGCCUUUAAGACUGCCGAGCUAGUAGGUGAGAGAGGUAAGUGGAAUUCCGAGUGUAGAGGUGAAAUUCGUAGAUAUUCGGAAGAACACCAGUGGCGAAGGCGGCUUACUGGCUCAUUCUAGACGCUGAGGUGCGAAAGCGUGGGGAGCAAACAGGAUUAGAUACCCCUGUAGUCCCUGUCUCUUAUAC